AUUGAACGCUGGCGGCAUGCUUUACACAUGCAAGUCGAACGGUAACAGGGAGCUUGCUCCGCUGACGAGUGGCGAACGGGUGAGUAAUAUAUCGGAACGUACCCAAGAGUGGGGGAUAACGUAGCGAAAGUUACGCUAAUACCGCAUACGAUCUAUGGAUGAAAGCAGGGGAUCUUCGGACCUUGUGCUCCUGGAGCGGCCGAUAUCUGAUUAGCUAGUUGGUGAGGUAAAGGCUCACCAAGGCGACGAUCAGUAGCUGGUCUGAGAGGACGACCAGCCACACUGGAACUGAGACACGGUCCAGACUCCUACGGGGGGCAGCAGUGGGGAAUUUUGGACAAUGGGCGCAAGCCUGAUCCAGCAAUGCCGCGUGAGUGAAGAAGGCCUUCGGGUUGUAAAGCUCUUUUGUCANGGAAGAAACGGUAGAGGCUAAUAUCCUUUGCUAAUGACGGUACCUGAAGAAUAAGCACCGGCUAACUACGUGCCAGCAGCCGCGGGUAUACGUAGGGUGCCAGCGUUAAUCGGAAUUACUGGGCGUAAAGCGUGCGCAGGCGGUUUUUGUAGUCUGUCGUGAAAUCCCCAGGGCUCCCCUGGGAAUUGCGAUGGAGACUGCAAGGCUAGAAUCUGGCAGAGGGGGGUAGAAUUCCACGUGUAGCAGUGAAAUGCGUAGAGAUGUGGAGGAACACCGAUGGCGAAGGCAGCCCCCUGGGUCAAGAUUGACGCUCAUGCACGAAAGCGUGGGGAGCAAACAGGAUUAGAUACCCUGGUAGUCCACGCCCUAAACGAUGUCUACUAGUUGUCGGGUUUUAAUUAACUUGGUAACGCAGCUAACGCGUGAAGUAGACCGCCUGGGGAGUACGGUCGCAAGAUUAAAACUCAAAGGAAUUGACGGGGACCCGCACAAGCGGUGGAUGAUGUGGAUUAAUUCGAUGCAACGCGAAAAACCUUACCUACCCUUGACAUGUCGGGAAUCCUUGAGAGAUUGAGGAGUGCCCGAAAGGGAACCUGAACACAGGUGCUGCAUGGCUGUCGUCAGCUCGUGUCGUGAGAUAUUGGGUUAAGUCCCGCAACGAGCGCAACCCUUGUCAUUAGUUGCUACAUUUAGUUGGGCACUCUAAUGAGACUGCCGGUGACAAACCGGAGGAAGGUGGGGAUGACGUCAAGUCCUCAUGGCCCUUAUGGGUAGGGCUUCACACGUCAUACAAUGGUACAUACAGAGGGCCGCCAACCCGCGAGGGGGAGCUAAUCCCAGAAAGUGUAUCGUAGUCCGGAUCGUAGUCUGCAACUCGACUACGUGAAGUUGGAAUCGCUAGUAAUCGCGGAUCAGCAUGCCGCGGUGAAUACGUUCCCGGGUCU
rnacentral:rRNA from 1 species